AACGAACGCUGGCGGCAGGCUUAACACAUGCAAGUCGAGCGCCCCGCAAGGGGAGCGGCAGACGGGUGAGUAACACGUGGGAAUCUACCCAUCCCUACGGAACAACUCCGGGAAACUGGAGCUAAUACCGUAUACGCCCUUAGGGGGAAAGAUUUAUCGGGGAUGGAUGAGCCCGCGUUGGAUUAGCUAGUUGGUGGGGUAAAGGCCUACCAAGGCGACGAUCCAUAGCUGGUCUGAGAGGAUGAUCUGCCACAUUGGGACUGAGACACGGCCCAAACUCCUACGGGAGGCAGCAGUGGGGAAUAUUGGACAAUGGGCGCAAGCCUGAUCCAGCCAUGCCGCGUGAGUGAUGAAGGCCUUAGGGUUGUAAAGCUCUUUCACCGAUGAAGAUAAUGACGGUAGUCGGAGAAGAAGCCCCGGCUAACUUCGUGCCAGCAGCCGCGGUAAUAC
rnacentral:rRNA from 1 species